GGGUUAGUAGGUUGGUCAUGCCUCUGGUAUGUACUGGUCUCACUGAUUCCUCCUUCCUGAUGAACCUUAAUGCCAUUAAUUUGGUGCUUUGGGGAAUUUGGACUGUUACCUUGAAAAAAUUAGAGUGUUUAAAGCAGGCAAAAUGCUUGAAUACAUUAGCAUGGAAUAAUGAAAUAGGACCUCGGUUCUAUUUUGUUGGUUUCUAGGACCGACGUA
rnacentral:rRNA from 1 species